CGUGCGUAUCGAAUUUUAGCAGACGAUGGAACGUGCAUCGUUAGCAAUUCACUCUGUACAAUGUACAUAUAAUAACGUAGCGAGCGUUAAUGCCUCUUGUUAUUUAUUUUAUGUGCGCGAAAAAUGUAAUAAAUGAAAAUA